rnacentral:rRNA from 1 species
GGUUGACCUCGGAUCAGGUAGGGAUACCCGCUGAACUUAAGCAUAUCAAUAAGCGGAGGAAAAGAAACCAACCGGGAUUGCCUCAGUAACGGCGAGUGAAGCGGCAAGAGCUCAAAUUUGAAAUCUGGCCCCCUCGGGGUCCGAGUUGUAAUUUGCAGAGGAUGCUUCGGGUGCGGCCCCCGUCUAAGUGCCCUGGAACGGGCCGUCAUAGAGGGUGAGAAUCCCGUCUGGGACGGGGUGUCCGCGUCCGUGUGAAGCUCCUUCGACGAGUCGAGUUGUUUGGGAAUGCAGCUCUAAAUGGGUGGUAAAUUUCAUCUAAAGCUAAAUACUGGCCGGAGACCGAUAGCGCACAAGUAGAGUGAUCGAAAGAUGAAAAGCACUUUGAAAAGAGAGUUAAAAAGCACGUGAAAUUGUUGAAAGGGAAGCGCUUGCGACCAGACUCGCCCGCGGGGUUCAGCCGGCAUUCGUGCCGGUGUACUUCCCCGUGGGCGGGCCAGCGUCGGUUUGGGCGGCAGGUCAAAGGCCCCCGGAAUGUAGUGCCCUUCGGGGCACCUUAUAGCCGGGGGUGCAAUGCUGCCAGCCUGGACCGAGGAACGCGCUUCGGCACGGACGCUGGCAUAAUGGUUGUAAACGACCCGUCUUG